rnacentral:rRNA from 1 species
GGUCAAGCAAGUAAGGGCCUACGGCGGAUGCCUGGGCAUCAGUUGGCGAUGAAGGACGUGGCUUGCUGCGAUAAGCGUCGGGGAGUGGUAAGCACACUUUGAUCCGGCGAUUUCCGAAUGGGGAAACCCAACGCUCAGAAAGGGCGUUACCCGAAAGGGAGCAAACGAGGGGAAUUGAAACAUCUUAGUACCCUCAGGAAAAGAAAGAAACUUCGAUUCCGCAAGUAGCGGCGAGCGAACGCGGACAAUCAGCCCAAACCCGUGUCUACGUGAUAGCUUCAAGGCGUUGUAGCAUGGGGGUUGAAGGACUAACAGGAGUCGCUUGAACGGCUCGAUGGAGUUACCAAGGUAGCAUCUAUCUGAACAGUUUGGAAAAACUGGCCAGAGACGGUGAUAGCCCGGUAAGGGAAAGGUGACUACCCUCCAGUUAGUAUCCUGAGUACGAUCCAACACGAGGAAUUGGGUCGGAAUCCACGGAGACCACUCCGUAAGGCUAAAUACACACUGAUGACCGAUAGUGUACGAGUACCGUGAGGGAAAGGUGAAAAGAACCCCGAAAGGGGAGUGAAAUAGAACCUGAAACCGUAGGCUUACAAGGUGUGGCGGCGCCAUAUGUGCGUUGCCGCGUGCCUUUUGCAUAAUGAGCCGGCGAGUUGUUUUACGUUGCGAGCUUAAGGCAGUUAAUGUCGAAGGCGCAGGGAAACCGAGUCCAAAUAGGGCGCAUAGUAACGUGGAGCAGACCCGAAGCCGAGUGAUCUACCUAUGAGCAGGGUGAAAUCAGGGUAAAACCUGAUGGAGGCCCGAACGGGUCAGAAUUAAAAAUCUGUCCGAUGACUUGUUGGUAGGGGCGAAAGACCAAUCAAACUCGGCAAUAGCUGGUUCUCCCCGAAAUAGCUUUAGGGCUAGCGUCACAUGUUCAUUUGAGGGGGUAGAGCACUGCAUGGAUCAGGGGGCCUACAAGCCUACCAAACCCUAGCAAACUCCGAAUACCUCAAAUCCAGAAUGUGGCAGUCAGAAGGCGGGGGCUAAGCUUCGUGUUCAAAAGGGAAACAGCCCAGACCAUCAUCUAAGGUCCCCAAGUUAACGCUAAGUGUUAAAGGAAGUGGGGGCGCUCAGACAACCAGGAUGUUGGCUUAGAAGCAGCCAUCAUUUAAAGAGUGCGUAAUAGCUCACUGGUCGAGUGCCUCUGCGCCGAAAAUGUAAUGGGACUAAGCGUUACACCGAAGGUAUGGACUCCGUAAGGAGUGGUAGGGGAGCGUUGUAAUCUGCAGGGAAGGUAUACCGCAAGGAGUACUGGAGCGAUUACAAGUGAGAAUGCCGGCAUGAGUAGCGAUUAUGGGGGUGAGAUUCCCCCACGCCGAUCACCCAAGGAUUCCCCGGCAAGGCCAAUCCGCCGGGGGUUAGUCGGUCCCUAAGGCAAACCCGAAAGGGGUAGUCGAUGGGAAGCAGGUUAAUAUUCCUGCACCGCCAUGGGUUCGUUUGAGCGAUGGAGUGACGAAGAAGGAUAAACAGGCAGAGCGUUGGUUUCUGUUCCUGGCUGUAGGCGCUGAGGGUUCCAGGAAAAUCCGGGACCUGAGCUGAGGGUUGGGACGAGUGAUCCUACGGGUAAUCGAAGCUGUUGAUUCCAUGCUUCCGAGAAAAACUUCUAAGUGAGAACUCGUGGUGACCGUACCGCAAACGGACACACGUGGGUAAGUAGAAUAUACUAAGGCGCUCGAGAGAACUCCUCCUAAGGAACUCGGCAAGCUAGCUCCGUAACUUCGGAAGAAGGAGCGCCUCAUCAGGUGAAGGUCCUGCGACCGGAGCCAGAUGGGGCCGCAGUGAAAGGGGGGUAGCGACUGUUUAACAAAAACACAGGUCUCUGCGAACUCGUAAGAGGACGUAUAGGGGCUGACACCUGCCCGGUGCCGGAAGGUUAAGAGGAUCCGUUAGCUUGUUUAACUUGCGAAGCGGAGAAUUGAAGCCCCGGUAAACGGCGGCCGUAACUAUGACGGUCCUAAGGUAGCGAAAUUCCUUGUCGGGUAAGUUCCGACCCGCACGAAUGGUGUAACGACUGCCCCACUGUCUCAGGAGGAGGCUCGGCGAAAUUGUAGUGCCCGUGAAGAUGCGGGCUUCCAGUAGCUGGACGGAAAGACCCCGUGAACCUUUACUAUAACCUGGCAUUGACCUUCGGUCGAAUAUGUGUAGGAUAGGUGGGAGACUUUGAUGCAGGGACGCUAGUUCUUGCGGAGUCAACCUUGAAAUACCACCCUUAUUCCGCUGGAGGUCUAACCCGCUGCAGAACAGCAGGGACAUUGUCAGGCGGGUAGUUUGACUGGGGCGGUCGCCUCCUAAAGAGUAACGGAGGCGCCCUAAGGUCUUCUCAGCGCGGCCGGAAAUCGCGCAUAGAGUGCAAAGGCAUAAGAAGGCUUAACUGUGAGACAAACAAGUCAAGCAGGUACGAAAGUAGGGCUUAGUGAUCCGGUGGUUCUGUGUGGAAGGGCCAUCGCUCAACGGAUAAAAGGUACUCCGGGGAUAACAGGCUUAUCGCGCCCAAGAGUUCAUAUCGACGGCGCGGUUUGGCACCUCGAUGUCGGCUCGUCGCAUCCUGGGGCUGGAGCAGGUCCCAAGGGUUUGGCUGUUCGCCAAUUAAAGCGGCACGCGAGCUGGGUUCAGAACGUCGUGAGACAGUUCGGUCCCUAUCCGCUACUGGCGUUGGAGAUUUGAGAGGUCCUGUCCCUAGUACGAGAGGACCGGGAUGGACGAACCUCUAGUGCACCUGCUGUCAUGCCAAUGGCACCGCAGGGUAGCUAUGUUCGGAUAGGAUAACCGCUGAAAGCAUCUAAGCGGGAAACCUGCCUCAAGAUAAGAUCUCCCUGGACUUCGGUCCCUGAAGACGCCUCAAAGACUAUGAGGUUGAUAGGCUACAAGUGUAAGUGCAGUAAUGCAUUCAGCUGAGUAGUACUAAUAUGUCGUGAGGCUUGACCAU